ensembl:lncRNA
GGAACUCAAUGUGAGCAAUGGUCACAUGUAGGUGAAGGAAACUGUUUCCUUUGUGUUUCUUUCAUAAAGAUGAACUUAUGAGCUGAUAACAGCGCCACGUGACGACUCAGGUGGCCUUACGCAAGCACUGUUCUAUAUAAUUACCUGUGGCCUGUGUUACGUGUGCACUGUAGGUUUUGUUCAGUAUGUUGAAGACUGACCUAGGGAGGGUAAAGAAAGCUGACCACUAUGGGAGAACACUGUCUUGGACGUCUGGCCUGCAUUCUGGGCUCCGUUCUCUUCUUCAUCAUCAGCCUGAUCUUCAAUGGACUGGCUGUAGUUGGAAUAUCCCCCUUCACCAGCACCACAGCCAACGUGUCGGCAGUGUUUGACACACAGGCAACCCCCAUAGGAUGGACCUUUAACAUCUGGGCCCUCAUCUACAUCUUUCUGAUCGGGAUGAAUGUCUACAUCAUCGCUGGCCUGUGCAGAAUGAACAGCUAUGGGUAUGUGUACUGCAGCCCCCCAGUGCUGCCCUAUGGCUUCUUCAUCAGCUGGUGCAUCAACAUGGGCUUCAACAUCGGAUGGCUCAUUCUCUGGGACCAAGGGUCCAUGCUUGCCGCAUUGAUGUUCCUCCUGGUGGUCAUUGUGACCAACUACGCCAUGAUGGCCUUCUCUUGCCACGGGCUCCAUGUCUACGGAGCGUGGCUCAACAAGUACCACCGAGUGGACCUCUGGCUGCUCCGCAUCCUUGUCCAGAACGGCCUGGGUCUGUACACCACGUGGACCACCAUCGCCACUCUGAUCAACCUGAGCAUCGUCCUGACCUACGACGUCCACCUGACCCCGCUGGACGCCGCCACCGUGGCCUAUGCCCUGCUGACCGCAGUGCUACUGGGCUGGUUCAUAUUGGAGAACUUUGUCAUCGAUAAACACAUGCGCUACACGCUGACCAUCUACCCCGUGGUGAUCUGGGCCCUGUCAGGGAACCUUGUGAAGAACUUUGAUGCGACAUCCCCUAACCGCAACGGUGUCUUUAUUGCGGUGCUGCUGGCUGUAGCCUGUUUCCUGUUCGCCACGAGGAUCAUUCUGGUCAUCUGGAGAAGCAUCCAACACCCGCUGUAUGAAGACGUGGAUCCAGCGGACAUGCAGCCCAUGGAGGCAGCGGCAAGACAGAAGAAGGCGCUUCGUUGAAGUGCUCGUUAUUUAAAUAUGGGACGAUAUUAUGUAUCGGAUGAUAUUUGUUGGCAGCACAUUUUGUCUUGUGUUUAUGGUAGAUCAAUAAAUCUAUAUCUGAUAAAUUAUAAAAUGCAUUGUAGUAUAAUUUGCACAAAAGUAGGCACCAUUAUUUGAUAUAAAUUGAAAACUGAUUUUCUGAUAUUUUAUGGCCCUUUCAUGAUGGUCAAAAACAGAGAUAAGAAAACUGAUAGAAAACAGUAAAAAUCCCUUUGAAGAUUUUUUAUUAUUCUACGAUUCAAUCGCAUGCCUAACCCCUUUAAGUUGAUUGUUGUAUUGUAGUUGUGUUGAAUAUAAAUGGAACAUGUAAAUAAAUUAAAUCAACCAAUAAUUUCAGAAAUUAACUAAUUUAAUCAAAAUAAUGUAUACACCUUACUGGAUCAAUAGUAUUUUGUUUUUUAAAACACAAAUUCCAAGAACAUGUUUUUUUUUUAAAUGGCAAUGAUUAACUUCCAAUGUAGCCCUGUAGAUGGGCAUAGUGCUCCACUUCAUUUUUUAAUAUUGAUAGGCCUACUGAAAGAUACAUUUAUACAUUAUAGCCAUUUGAUUUGUCGAUUUAGUAAACUUUGAAAAGUACACAAUUUCAAGGAACGGAUAGUAACAUAAAACCUGAUUAAAAACAGACUGGAGCCUGUAGUUCGCCUGACCACUAGGGGGCAGAGAACCAACCGGAG